UACGGAGGAGGCAAGCGUUAUCCGGAAUUAUUGGGCGUAAAGCGUCCGUAGAUGGUCGUUUCAAUUCUGCUGUCAAAGACCGGGGCUUAACCCCAGAAAGGCGGUGGAAACUGAACAGCUAGAGAGAGGUAGGGGUAGAGGGAAUUCCCAGUGUAGCGGUGAAAUGCGUAGAUAUUGGGAAGAACAUCAGUGGCGAAAGCGCUCUACUGGACCUUAUCUGACAUUGAGGGACGAAAGCUAGGGGAGCGAAUGGG
rnacentral:rRNA from 1 species